rnacentral:rRNA from 1 species
AACACGUAAAGAACCUGCCCUCAGGUCUGGGAUAACCACGAGAAAUCGGGGCUAAUACCGGAUGGGUCAUCGGACCGCAUGGUCCGAGGAUGAAAGACGCUUCGGCGUCGCCUGGGGAUGGCUUUGCGGUGCAUUAGCUAGUUGGUGGGGUAAUGGCCCACCAAGGCGACGAUGCAUAGCCGACCUGAGAGGGUGAUCGGCCACACUGGGACUGAGACACGGCCCAGACUCCUACGGGAGGCAGCAGUAGGGAAUCUUCCAUAAUGGACGAAAGUCUGAUGGAGCAACGCCGCGUGAACGAUGAAGGCCUUCGGGUCGUAAAGUUCUGUUGUAAGGGAAGAACAAGUGCCGCAGGCAAUGGCGGCACCUUGACGGUACCUUGCGAGAAAGCCACGGCUAACUACGUGCCAGCAGCCGCGGUAAUACGUAGGUGGCAAGCGUUGUCCGGAAUUAUUGGGCGUAAAGCGCGCGCAGGCGGCCUCUUAAGUCUGAUGUGAAAGCCCCCGGCUCAACCGGGGAGGGCCAUUGGAAACUGGGAGGCUUGAGUAUAGGAGAGAAGAGUGGAAUUCCACGUGUAGCGGUGAAAUGCGUAGAGAUGUGGAGG